AUGGAUUGGUUUCAUUGCAAUCAGUGCUUCACCCAGAAAGGAUCUGACUUUUAUGCUGCUAGCUGUGGACACAUAUUUUGCAAAAAAUGUGUUGGCACAGAUAAAUGCUCAUUUUGUGGAACAAACUGCAAGUAUUUGCUUCUUAAUGAUAAAAUUCAAGGCAAAGAAAAAAAGUUUUUUACAAGUCCUAUUGAAACUGCACUCAAGUUUUUUGCCCAUAUUUCACAGGUAUGGACGUUUCAAAAAGGCCAGAUGGAGCUGUUGGCCUCUUUUUACAAACACCGGGCUUCCAAGGCCAAGGCUGCUCUUCAACAGGCUCAACAGAAGCUAACUACCCAGGAAAAGGAGCUGAAAGCUCUGCAGAAGGAAAACGAUGAACUAAAGAAGACUCUCAGCUGUUUAAAGCAUCAUUCUCCCCAGUAUCUCCAUGGUAGUAGAAACAGCACUCCAAGACCAGUUGCUGUCACACCUCCACUGCAGUCAGUUACACCAAGGCCCAGUUUCCGGCUCUCCAGUGAAGUGGUCAGCCGUUCUUCUUCUAUGGACUCCAUCUCCUCCAUGGUAGGUAGCCAUCUACAAAGCUGGCAUGUGAGUUGCCACUCCACUACAACCAUCACUGUUGCCAGAAAAGGAAGAGGGAGGAUGAGUGCCAUCCUUUGUUCCUUAUGGAGUUUUGGUGAGGCUCUUGUUUUUAUCCAGUAUGCUACAGGGGGCACCAGGAUGAAUGAUGGAAGGACAACCACAGCUAGCUCUAGAAAUGGUAAGAAAUAUUGGAGGCAUAAAGUGAAUUUCAGACAUGUUUACUUUUUUCAAAGAUUAUUUGAGACAACCUGCCAACACAGGGCCAAAACUAAUAGAAUAUUUGCCCCUCCUUGCCCCAGGAUUUCAAAUACAGCUUUCCUGGACCAAAACCCUGGCUUUCAAUCCAAGGAUCACACUGUGGCUUAUAAUGGAAUAGAAGUUUCUUGCUUCCAUAGAGAGGGAAAAAUGAUUCCAGCUGUCCAGUGGAUCAUCUUCCUCUCAUUUGUAUCCAGAAUUAGACAUCCUGCAUGAGAUACCAUGUGCCUUCUUCUCAUGUCUUUUUAAUUGACUUCUACCAUCCAUGCCAUGUAUAAUAUAAUACUGUUACUUCUAUUUUCCAGUAAGUCCUUCUGCAGCUUCCAAUCAAAGCUUAUUCUAUAGGAGCUCUUUCUCCUCUUCCCUUACUCCUGGCUUGAAUGACUUCACUCUACAUCCUCCCACAAGGUCCAGUGCUAGCAAUAAUCGGCAGCAACAGGAAACCC